UGCGUAGGCGGACUAAUAAGUCAGUGGUGAAAUCUCUCGGCUCAACCGGGAAACUGCCAUUGAUACUGUUAGUCUUGAGUUCGGUUGAGGUAGGCGGAAUGUGUAAUGUAGCGGUGAAAUGCUUAGAUAUUACACAGAACACCAAUUGCGUAGGCAGCUUACUAGACCGACACUGACGCUGAGGCACGAAAGCGUGGGUAGCGAACAGGAUUAGAUACCCUGGUAGUCC
rnacentral:rRNA from 1 species